UACGGAGGAUGCAGGCGUUAUCCGGAAUGAUUGGGCGUAAAGGGUCCGCAGGUGGCAGUGUAAGUCUGCUGUCAAAGAAUGAGGCUUAACCUUAUCAAGGCAGUGGAAACUACACAGCUAGAGUACGGUCGGGGUAGAAGGAAUUCCUGGUGUAGCGGUGAAAUGCGUAGAGAUCAGGAAGAACACCGGUGGCGAAAGCGUUCUGCUAGACCUGUACUGACACUGAGGGACGAAAGCUAGGGGAGCGAAUGGG
rnacentral:rRNA from 1 species